rnacentral:rRNA from 1 species
GUAGCGGCGAGCGAACAGGGAUAAGCCCAGCACUGAAUCCCGCGGCCGACUUCGGACGCCGGGAAAUGUAGUGUUAGGGAGGGUCCGCUAUCCCGAGAUCGUGCGGCGAGUUCAAGUCCUCCUUGAACGGGGCCACUCACCCACAGAGGGUGCCAGGCCCGUAGCGGCCGCCGCCGAUAGCGGGAGGAUCUCUCCUCAGAGUCGGGUUGCUUGAGAGUGCAGCCCUAAGUGGGUGGUAAACUCCAUCUAAGGCUAAAUAUAACCACGAGACCGAUAGCGAACAAGUACCGUGAGGGAAAGUUGAAAAGAACUUUGAAGAGAGAGUUCAAUAGUACGUGAAACCGUUCAGGGGUAAACCUGAGAAGCCCGAAAGUUCGAACGGGGAGAUUCAGCGCGUCUCGGCGACCGUGCGAGUUUUGGUCGGGUGACGGUUCGGCGUUCGCGUCGGGCCGCACCGAUCGAAGCCGUUGCCGGCGACGAAGCGUGCCACUUCUACCCUUGUAGGACGUCGCGACCCGUUGGGUGUCGGUCUUAAGGUUNCGCGGUGGAGCCCGUCGGGGCGCGGCUCUUGUGGUCGUGCUCCCGUGCGGACCCGCGAAAUUUUCCUGGCCGACUCGCUCGACGGUAUAGAAACGAUGGCGGUGGGUCGCAAAUUUUGUUUGCGUCCGGCCCGUUGUCGGCGCGGUUGCUAUCGCCCGGCUGUCGGACUGUUGUGCCGACACCGGGAGCCGACCGUUGCCGUGCAACGGUGUCCUCGGACGGGCCCUUAAAUUACACGCUUGUCUGCGACGCUUUAGGUUUGGGCACUUUCAGGACCCGUCUUGAAACACGGACCAAGGAGUCUAGCAUGUGCGCGAGUCAUUGGGAUUUAUUCUAAACCUAAAGGCGAAAUGAAAGUGAGGAUUUGCCUUCGGUGCAAUCCUAGGGAGGAUGGCCGUCGAUGUUUUUAACAUCACGGCUCGCACUCCCGGGGCGUCUCGUUCUCAUUACGAGAUGAGGCGCACCCAGAGCGUACACGC